AAUGAACGCUGGCGGCGCGCCUAAUACAUGCAAGUCGAGCGAGAAGACGUAGCAAUACGUUUGUAAAGCGGCGAACGGGUGAGGAAUACAUGGGUAACCUACCCUAGAGUGGGGAAUAACUAGCCGAAAGGUUAGCUAAUACCGCGUACGCUCCUUGGACUUCGGUUCAGGGAGGAAAGCGAUGCCGAGGGUAUCGCGCUCUUGGAUGGGCUCAUGUCCUAUCAGCUUGNGGUGAGGUAACGGCUCACCAAGGCUUCGACGGGUAGCUGGUCUGAGAGGACGAUCAGCCACACUGGGCACUGCGACACGGGCCAGACUCCUACGGGAGGCAGCAGUAAGAAUAUUGCGCAAUGGGCGAAAGCCUGACGCAGCGACGCCGCGUGGGGGAUGAAGGUCUUCGGAUUGUAAACCCC
rnacentral:rRNA from 1 species